rnacentral:rRNA from 1 species
AAACUAAAGAGUUUGAUCCUGGCUCAGAUUGAACGCUGGCGGCAUGCCUUACACAUGCAAGUCGAACGGUAGAGUAGCAAUACUCGAGAGUGGCGAACGGGUGAGUAAUAUAUCGGAACGUGCCCAGU